ensembl:misc_RNA
ACAGCUUUGGACAAAAGUCUAUAGCCAGUGCAUUUGAAACUCCCCUUGCACAAGGGCUGACUGUAGCUGGGGAAAGACAGUUUACUCAUUUGCUCUCUCCUUUCAUACAGUUAGCUGGCCCUCUUCUCAGGUGUAGAUCACGUAUUAUCAUUUCACCUGUUUUGAUUCUCUGAUGAGGCAAGUCCCAGGACUUAUCAGCAGGGAUAGGCCUCAUUGCCAAGACAGCUCU